UCUGGCCAUCCUUGGGGAGAUCGUGUUUGGCAUUAAGUUGUCGGGCAUGGGAUACCCAUCGUUUACUGUGAAAAAAUUAGAGUGUUUAAAGCAGGCUUAUGCCGUUGAAUAUAUUAGCAUGGAAUAAUAAGAUAGGACUUUGGAACUAUUUUGUUGGUUUGCGUUACAAAGUAAUGAUUAAUAGGGACAGUUGGGGGUAUUCGUAUUUCGUUGUCAGAGGUGAAAUUCUUGGAUUUCCGAAAGACGAACUACUGCGAAAGCAUUUACCAAGGAUGUUUUCAUUAAUCAAGAACGAAAGUUAGGGGAUCGAAGAUGAUUAGAUACCAUCGUAGUCUUAACCAUAAACUAUGCCGACUCAGGAUUGGCGGUUG
rnacentral:rRNA from 1 species